AUUGAACGCUGGCGGCAGGCCUAACACAUGCAAGUCGAACGAGUGGCGGACGGGUGAGUAAUGUCUGGGAAACUGCCUGAUGGAGGGGGAUAACUACUGGAAACGGUAGCUAAUACCGCAUAACAUCAGAUAUGCCCAGAUGGGAUUAGCUAGGUGGUGGGGUAACGGCUCACCAAGGAGACGAUCCCUAGCUGGUCUGGGAGGAUGACCAUCCAACUUGGAACUGAGACACGGUCCAGACUCCUACGGGAGGCAGCAGUGGGUAAUAUUGCACAAUGGGCGCAAGCCUGAUGCAGCCAUGCCGCGUGGAUGAAGAAGGCCUUCGGGUUGUAAAGUACUUGCAGCGGGGAGGCGUUACCCGCAGAAGAAGCACCGGCUAACUCCGUGCCAGCCGCCGCGGUAAUAC
rnacentral:rRNA from 1 species